AGGACCAACAGAGCAAGCACUGCAGUUCCAAGACUGAAGAGGUCAGAACUCACCUGAAGAGUAUGCAGACUAUGAGAACAUGGAGCCAGUUCACUUAGAGACUCUGGAUAGAAAAAACACACCUUUAAUCUGAUUCCUGUGUCAGGAAAUUACACACCUUUAAUCCCAAUUUUGAGACCAGAAGACUGGGCCAUGCCUUCUUUUGGAGGCCUAUAUAAGCUCAUGGAAGAAGGAAGCUUUGUGUCUUUGCCUGCUUGCUUUCAUCUUACUAGCAAGCCCAUUUUUCAUAGGCGUUAGAGCCCACUUCUUCAGAAUUCCAGCAUAUACUGAAGAAUGUGAACACCACAGACUUCAAACCUUGUGGACUAAAUCAACUUUAACCUCCAAACUACCUCCAGAAGACAUGUCAAGGGACCUGGAAGUCAAAAGCUGUGGCUACACACACAUCAGUGUUCAGAAUUUCUGCUAUGAGUGGACCAUUAGAAACUUUUCAUUUUGCAUGGAUGGAAUUCGGGAAAAUAUUACAAGCCCAGGGUUCUCAUUAGAGGCCAGUGGAGAAGUACAAUGGUGUUUGAGAAUAUACCCAAACGGUGUUGAUGAAGAAGGCAAAGAUUGCCUGUCUGUUUACUUGGGUUUGCUCAGUUGUCCAAAGAGCCCAGUUUGGGCAAAGGUACAGUUCUCGAUCAUAAAUGCCCAAGGAGAGAAAUAUCUUAUUACAAAGAUCUCAGAUGUUUUAAGGUUUCUGCCAAAUCAAUACUGGGGAUGCAAAAAGUUCAUCCUUCGAGAUUUCCUCCUCUACCAUAGUCAUUGGCUUCUCCCUGAAGACAAGCUUACCCUGUGUUGCAAGGUGAGCAUAAUAGGACCCUUCUUUAGCAGGCCUGGACAGAACAUGACACCUGCAAUCAGGGAUCCAAUGCAGAUGUUGGCAGAAGACCUAGGAGUGCUGUGGGAAAAUUCCCUCUUCACAGACUGCAGCCUGGUGGUAGCUGGCCAGGAAUUCAGAGCUCACAAGGCCAUUCUAGCAGCUCGCUCUCCAGUUUUCAGAGCCAUGUUUGAAAAUGAAAUGCUAGAGAGCCUAACAGACCGCAUUGAGAUCCAUGACAUUCACCUGCAAGUCUUUAAGGAAAUGAUGGCCUUCAUUUACACAGGGAAGGCACCACACCUCCACAGCUACUCAAUGGCCACUGGUUUGUUGGCAGCUGCUGAUAAGUAUGCCCUGCAGGGGUUGAAGGUCAUGUGUGAGGAUGCCCUGUGCAGGAACCUCUCUGUGAAAAAUGCUGUACCCACUCUCAUCCUGGCUGACCUCCACAGAGCAGAGCACCUGAAGACUAAAGUUAUGGAUUUCAUUAUACUUCAUGCUUCUGAAGUCUCUGAGACCGUGGGGUGGAAGUCAAUGGUGGAGUCACAUCCCUACUUGGUGGAGGAAGCAUUUCGCUCCCUGGCUUCUAUACAUUGUCCUUGCUUGGAGCCCUCACUGUAAUGCUGAAAGAUAUUUUAGGAGCUUGACAGCUAUGACCUACACCUGUCUUCCAACAGCAACAACCACUCAUUUUACCAAUGAAUUCUGUUUAGACUACAGUAUUGCUGGAGCAUUUACAGUGAAUCUGGGCAAAGGCAGCCUGGAUUUAGAAGAGCUGUGAUAUGUCAAAAUGGUGUGUAGGGAAAGGGUACCACUAGGGUCUUGGACAUACCCUGCUGAUGUUUUAUUCUUGUCUGAUGUCUUGAACCUGGGAUUCAACUGGCCUGAAACACAGCUCAACUGACUCUUUGGAAAAACCUGUCUGCAUUAUACUGAGCAGAAUUAGAUGACCUAACUUAACUGGCAUGUAAAAAUUUUCACCUAAUUUAUGUGUAUUAUCUAUCUGCAAAUAAAAAUUCUUUCAACUUU